rnacentral:rRNA from 1 species
UACGUAGGAGGCGAGCGUUGUCCGGAAUUACUGGGCGUAAAGAGCGCGUAGGCGGCGCUGUACGACCCGUGUGAAAGCCCCCGGCUCAACUGGGGAGGGUCACGGGUAACGGCAGUGCUCUGAGUGCAGGAGAGGGAAGUGGAACUCCGGGAGUAGCGGUGAAAUGCGUAGAGACCCGGAGGAACACCAGUGGCGAAGGCGGCUUCCUGGUCUGCGACUGACGCUGUGGCGCGAAAGCUAGGGGAGCGAACGGG